rnacentral:misc_RNA from 1 species
GAUGAAGAACGUAGCGAAAUGCGAUAAGUAAUGUGAAUUGCAGAAUUCAGUGAAUCAUCGAAUCUUUGAACGCACAUUGCGCCCGCUAGUAUUCUGGCGGGCAUGCCUGUCCGAGCGUCAUUUCAACCAUCAAGCCCUGUUUAGGCUUGUGUUGGGGCCCUGCGGCUGCCGCAGCCCCCUAAAUGCAGUGGCGGGCUCGUUGUCACUCCGAGCGCAGUAGCGUAUCUCGCUCUGGGCGUGGCGGCGGGUGCUAGCCGUGAAACACCCACUAAGGUUGACCUCGGAUCAGGUAGGAAUACCCGCUGAACUUAAGCAUAUCAAUAAGCGGAGGA